CACAACACCCUCCCCCGAGAUAUCAAAUAAGCCGCGUAGUGAGCGGAGUUCGCACUAGCCCGGACGGCUCUACCAUCGAAGUGGUGUGUUGCGAGCGGGAGAGGGAUGACCAGAGCUCCGCGAAGCUGGACCGUCAAACAUGGAGCUUUUUAAAACGCUCAUUUCGGUGCUUUGGAUGUUAUUGCUGAAUGGAAACAAGGGCUGUCACGCYGAGGAAGUGGUCCUGCUGAACUCUAAAGAAACUCAGGCAGAGCUCGGUUGGACGUCGUACCCCUCCAAUGGAUGGGAGGAGAUCAGUGGCGUGGAUGAGAAGUACAAGCCCAUCAGGACCUACCAGGUGUGUAACGUGAUGGAGCCGGCGUUGCAGAA